AUGGCAGGUGAAGAAAAUGAGUAUGAUGUUGAAGGAAAUGGGCAUCUCAAUCAGCCCGUCACACGGUUUCACUUCAACUCAUUACGUGAUCAUCUACGCCGAGAGUUCAGAAACAGCCUUGACCCAAUUGAAGAGAAGCAAGACAAGUUGUCGAGAGAUUUGUAGCAACUUAUGGGUAAUGUUGAUGAGCAACUCACUCAGAACAUGGCAGCCAUGAGGACUGGUAUUGUUGCUAAUAUUGUGCGAGGGCUUCGUCAGAACCGAGAAGAUGCAAGUGUCCAUGGUGAAGAACAAAACGUAACUGAUGGGAAAGGUGCUGCCUCCAAUGCACAGGCUAGAAGAAACCGUGCUCCUGCUCCCCAUGCCAUGAGACCUCCCGGUCCCGGACGUGGAAAUGAUCAUGGUAAUGGACGUGGUCAUCAUGAAGCUGCUGCUGGUCGUGGUCUUAGAGGAGGCCACAGAAGAGCAAAUCUGCACCAUGAAGGUAGUGGAGAUGAGUUUGAUGAAGAUGAAGAUGGCAUGCACCAGAAUGACAGAUUUCAUCUGUGACGAAACUAUGGUCGUGGACGGCAGGAGGAGGAGAGGUUUGGAAAGCUAAAUUUACCAUGCCCAAGUUUAAUGGUGGAUCUGAUCCAGAAAGUUAUCUCACAUGGGAAUUGA
rnacentral:rRNA from 1 species